GCAGCAGCCGCGGUAAUACCGAGGGUGCGAGCGUUAAUCGGAUUUACUGGGCGUAAAGCGUGCGUAGGCGGCUUCUUAAGUCGGAUGUGAAAUCCCUGAGCUUAACUUAGGAAUUGCAUUCGAUACUGGGAAGCUAGAGUAUGGGAGAGGAUGGUAGAAUUCCAGGUGUAGCGGUGAAAUGCGUAGAGAUCUGGAGGAAUACCGAUGGCGAAGGCAGCCAUCUGGCCUAAUACUGACGCUGAGGUACGAAAGCAUGGGGAGCAAACAGGAUUAGAUACCCGUGUAGUCCCUGUCUCUUAUAC
rnacentral:rRNA from 1 species